ensembl:lncRNA
GUGUCCCCAGGUGUGUUCCAGGUGUCCCCAGGUGUCCCCAGGUGUGUCCAGGUGUGUCCAGGUGUGUUCCAGGUGAGCCCAGGUGUGUCCAGGUGUGUUCCAGGUGUCCCCAGGUGUGUCCAGGUGUGUUCCAGGUGUCCCCAGGUGUGUUCCAGGUGUCCCCAGGUGUGUUCCAGGUGUCCCCAGGUGUGCUCCAGGUGUCCCCAGGUGUGUCCAGGUGGGUUCCAGGUGUCCCCAGGUGUCCCCAGGGUUCUAGACUGGGUUCUAGACUGGGUUCCAGACUCGGUUCUAGAGGUUCUAGACUCGGUUCUAGAUCGGGUUCUAGAGGUUCUAGACUCAGUUCUAGAUCAGGUUCUAGAGGUUCUAGACUCGGUUCUAGAGCGGUUCUAGAUCGGGUUCUAGACUCGGUUCUAGACUGGGUUCUAGAGUGUUCUGGACUGGGUUCCAGGUGUCCCCAAGUUUUCCCAGCUGUCCCCAGGUGUCCCAGGUGUGUUCCCAGGGUGUCCCCAGCUGUUCCAGGUGUUCCCAGCUGUCCCAGAUGUGUCCCCAGGUGUGCCAGCUGUCCCCAGCUGUCCCCAGGUGUGCUCCUGUCCGAGUCUCAGGUACCACCAGCUGCACCCCGAGUACAUCCACGAGCGGCUCCGGGCUCUGGGGCGGAGCUUCGGCCUCCAGGUGCUGCUGCUGCAGGUGGACGUGCGGGAUCCCCUCCAGGCUCUGCAGGACCUGGCCCGGAUUUGUCUCCUCAGCGACUGCACCUUGCUGCUGGCCUGGAGUGCGGAGGAGAGCGGUCGCUACCUGGAGACCUUCAAGUGCUACGAGCAGAAACCGCCCGACCUCCUCCGGGAGCGCGUGGAGCCCGACUUCCUGUCCCGGGUCAGGCCCCAAAUGUCCCCAAGUGUCCCCAAAUGUCCCCAAAUGUCCCCAAAUGUCCCCAAAUGUCCCCAAAUGUACCCAAAUAUCCUCAAAAUGUCCCUAAUUGUACCCAAAAGUGUCCCCAGGGUCCUCCGGGAGCGCGUGGAGCCCGACUUCCUGUCCCGGGUGUCCGACUGCCUGACCAGCGUCAGAUCCGUCAACAAGAGCGACGCCCUGGCCCUGCUGGGCACCUUCGGGUCUCUGGCAGCCGUGGCGGCCGCGUCCCCCCAGGAUCUGUCCCUGUGCCCCGGCGUGGGACCCCAAAAGGCCAAGCGCCUUUUCGACGUUCUGCACCAGCCCUUCCUCAAGAGCGCCUGAGGAGCCCCAAAACCGCCCCAAAUCACCCCAAAAUCACCUCAAAACACCCCAAAACCGCCCCAAAUCACCCCAAAAUCACCUCAAAACACCCCAAAAUCACCUCAAAACACUCCAAAAUCACCUCAAAACACCCCAAAAUCAUCUCAAAACACCCCAAAAUCACCUCAAAACACCCCAAAAUCAUUCAAAAUACAUCAAAACACCCCAAAAUCGCCUCAAAACACCCCAAAAUCAUUCAAAAUAAAUCAAAACACCCCAAAAUCGCCUCAAAACACCCCAAAAUAAAUCAAAACCCCCCAAAAAAAACCCAAAUUCCCAUUUUUUCUCUCCCCCAAUAAAAUCCAUUUUAAUGCCCCAGCCGCGGCCCCUC